ensembl:lncRNA
GUAACAUCAAAUAAAUCUUAAAAAAAGUGAUGAUGGAAGUGUCGCAAGACUAAGUCUGUCUGUCUGUUAGUUGUCCAUGUAAACCUUUCUACCUCUAAAUGUAUCUAUCUAACUACCUACCUGCCUACAACUCUGUCUGUCUGUACCUUUCUACCUACAAGUAUAUCUAUAUCUAUGUCUGUUUUAAUGAAGUAAGUUUGUAUCUUUAGACCAAUGUGAGCAUUAUUUGUUAAAGAUCACCACUUACUGAGUGUAAUCCUAAUUCUGUACAUCUUCUUCUUCUUCUUCUUUUGGCUGCUCCCUUUAGGGGUCGCCACAGUGGAUCAUCAGCCUCCAUCUUGCCCUAUCCACUGCCUCCUCUACUUUUACACCAACCAUCUCCAUGUCCACCUUCACUACAUCCAUAAACCUUCUCUGAGGAACGAUAUCCUGAUGCAAGUCUCCUGCUCCUGGUGAUGAC